AGCGAACGCUGGCGGUAUGCCUAACACAUGCAAGUCGAACGGCAGCACAGUAAGAGCUUGCUCUUACGUGUGGCGAGUGGCGGACGGGUGAGGAAGACAUCGGAAUCUACUUUUUCGUGGGGGAUAACGUAGGGAAACGUACGCUGAUACCGCAUACGACCUACGGGUGAAAGCAGGGGAUCUUCGGACCUUGCGCGAUUGAAUGAGCCGAUGUCGGAUUAGCUAGUUGGCGGGGUAAAGGCCCACCAAGGCGACGAUCCGUAGCUGGUCUGAGAGGAUGAUCCGCCACACUGGCACUGAGACAGGGUCCAGACUCCUACGGGAGGCCGCAGUGCGGAAUAUUGGACAAUGGGCGAAAGCCUGAUCCAGCCAUACCGCGUGGGUGAAGAAGGCGUUCGGGUUGUAAAGCCCUUUUGUUGGGAAAGAAAAGAAGCAGGUUAAUCCCCCGCUGUUCUGACGGUACCCAAAGAAUAAGCACCGGCUAACUUCGUG
rnacentral:rRNA from 1 species